rnacentral:rRNA from 1 species
GACGAACGCUGGCGGCGUGCCUAAUACAUGCAAGUAGGCCGCAGUUGCGAACGGGGGAGUAACGCGUAUGUAACUCCCUCUUAGAGGGGGAUAACUCUUGGAAACGAUAGUUAUUACCCCAUACUCGUAGAUGGACCUGCCUUGUAUUAGCUAGCAGGUAGGGUAAUGGCCUACCUAGGCAACGCUACAUAGCCGACCUGAGAGGGUGAUCGGCAACACUGGGACUGAGACAAGGCCCAGACUCCUACGGGAGGCAGCCGGAAGGAAUCUUCGGGAAAGGGGGGAACCCUGACCGAGCAACGCCGCGUGAGUGAAGAAGGUUUUCGGAUCGGAAAGCUCUGGUGUUAAGGAAGCGGUACUUAACCAGAAAGGGACGGCUAACUACGUGCCAGCAGCCGCGGUAAUUC